GAGGGUAUAGCUCAGUGGUAGAAUGCAUGCUUAGCAUGCACAAGGUCCUGGGUUCAAUCCCCGGUACCUCCU
rnacentral:tRNA from 1 species